AACGAACGCUGGCGGCAGGCCUAACACAUGCAAGUCGAACGCUGUAGCAAUACAGAGUGGCAGACGGGUGAGUAACGCGUGGGAACCUUCCCAAUGGUACGGAAUAGCUCAGGGAAACUUGAGGUAAUACCGUAUAAGCCCCUAGGGGGAAAGAUUUAUCGCCAUUGGAUGGGCCCGCGUCGGAUUAGCUAGUUGGUAGGGUAAUGGCCUACCAAGGCGACGAUCCGUAGCUGGUUUGAGAGAAUGACCAGCCACACUGGGACUGAGACACGGCCCAGACUCCUGCGGGAGGCAGCAGUGGGGAAUUUUGGACAAUGGGCGCAAGCCUGAUCCAGCCAUGCCGCGUGAGUGACGAAGGCCUUAGGGUUGUAAAGCUCUUUUGCCGGGGACGAUAAUGACGGUACCCGGAGAAGAAGCCCCGGCUAACUCCGUGCCAGCCGCCGCCGUAAUAC
rnacentral:rRNA from 1 species